CGCCCGCCUCACUGAUAGAACGACUGAGUAGAAGAACCUGGAUCUGCACACGAAAAACAUAUGCAGGAAAGGGCAUGAGUACACCACAGCGGUACCUAGUAAGUGCCAAGCCUAACCUCUAUUGAGUAGUGAUGGGGAAGAUCAGGGCCCUACUAGUUAUAUAUAUAAAACACGGUAAAACAGUAUGAAAUGCGACAAUAUAAUUAAAAUACUAACAGUCGAUAAAGAGUAAAUCACAAAAAGAAUACAACUCAGUACACAUAGAUAGCAACAGGGGAUCUCCUAGGAUAUCAUCCCGUAGUCCAAAAGGUAAAUGUACAGAGGAUCUCCCGGGAUAUCGUCCCGUAGUCCAAAUCAUAAAUAUGCAGGGGAAUCUCCCGGAAUACCAAUCCGUAGGAAGUAAAUAUCCAGUACAGGAGAAUCUCCCGGGAUAUCGUCCCGUAGUCCCAAAUAUAAGUGUGCAUGGGGAUCUUCCGGAAUACCGAUCUGUAGUCCCAAAGUAAACAUGCAGGGAAAUCUUCCGGGAUAUCGUCCCGUAAUCCCAAAGUAAACACACAACAGUCUCAAGAAAAGAAUCAACAGUUCUAUUCAAGUUCGUACCAAGAAAACAGAGAUUUCUAUUCUAAACAUGUUGUACAGAAUUCAAGUAGACAGUUUAAACAGAUAGAACAACUAAAUCACUUAAGCAUGCUUUCCUAAGAUAAAUAGUAGGUUCAAAAAUACAAGUAGUGUUCAACAAAAAGGAAACACAUAUAUUUAUUUAAUGAAAAUGGGGGUUUUCCAACAAUUAGCACAUGUACGCACUCGUUACCUCACGUACACGACAUUCAUAUAACAAUGAUACCAAAUCCAAAGGGGAGUUCCCCCACACAAGGUUAGGCAGGCCACUUACCUCGAAUCAACUCAAAAUCAAUUCGAAAUCACGCUCUUGACACGAGUAUCCAACUCCGAGUUGCCCAAAUCUAAUCAAAUCAAUAUCAUAAUAUAAAUAUAACUACAAACAACGAGUUUAGCAAAAAGAAUCGAAGCUAAGGUAAGAAAAUAGAAAAACGCUCAAAAAUCCUCCCCGGGCCUAUGUCUCGUAAUUGGAUAAAAAUUAUGGAUUAUGAAUACCCAUUCACUCACGAGAUCACUCGUCCAAAAAUCACUCAAUUCCGACAACUAAAACCCAAUCAAAAUCCAAAAACUCGGUUGGGAAACUUUUCCCCCAAAUUCCCAUUCUUCCACUCAAAUUCUUAGUUUAAAUGUGUAAAACAACAAUAGAUUGAUGAAAUAUAAACGAAAUAGGGUUAGAAAUCGUUACCCACUGAUUUCCUCUUCAAAGCCCUCUCAAAAUUGCCUUCUCCCGAGGUAAAAAUCAAAUUUGGUGUUAUGAACUUCAAACCCUUGAAAUUUCUUAUUUCUGCCCAACGAUUACCGCAUCUACGUUCAGGGGGAUGCACCUGCGGUCCCGUACCUGCGGAAGAAGCAUCGCAGGUGCAAAAUUCACUUAACCGGGCUGGGGCCGCAUCUGCGGUUUCGCAUUUGCGGUCACCCAACCGCACCUGCGGUUCCUGAAGCCCUGGGCUUUUUCCGCUUCUGCAAUUAUCAAGCCGCUUUUGCGGCGCCGCACUUGCGGUCCCAUAUACGCAGGUGCAGUUAUAGUAGGUUCAACAAUAAUAGAAAAUGCCUAAGUCCAAAUUCAAUUCCGUUAAGCCUCCGAAACUCACCCGAGGGCCCCGGGACCUCAACCAAACAUGCCAACCAAUCCUAAAACAUCAUAUGAACUUAGUCCAGCCCUCAAAUCACAUCAAACAACGCUAAAACCACGAAUCACCCUCCAAUCCAAGCCUAAUGAACUUGCAAACCCAAGAAUUCUACAAUUGAUGCCGAAACCAACCAAACCAUGUCUGAUUGACCCCAAAUUUUGCACACAAGUCACAUUCAACACUACGGAGCUACUCCAACUUUCAGAAUUGGAUUCCGACCCUGAUAUCAAAAUCUCACUAUCGAUCUGGAAAUUUUAAAAAUUCAACUUUCAGCAUUUCAAGCCUAAAUAAGCUACGAACCUCUAAAAUACAAUUCAAACACACUCCUAAGCCCGAAAUCACCCAAUGGAGCUAACAGAAUUGACAAAAUUCCAUUCCGAGGCCGUCUUCACACUACUCCAACUACGGUCCAAAUUCUAAAGCUUAAGCUCUCAUUUAGGGAUUAAGUAUCCCAAAACACUCCGAAAUUCAAAACGAAUCUUUCCGGCAACUCACAAUAGCAACAACAAACACAGAGAAAGAAGUUAAUAGGGGAUCGGGGUAUUAAUUCUUAAAACGACCGACCGGGUCGUUACACAACCCCAUAAAAUAAUGUUAACCGCUACUAUCCAAUUGAAGUAAAUAAUGUACCAAAUUCAUGACUGAUAAAUAAGUAUAUUUCAGAACAUCAGUCAAAAGAAAAACGCAGUAAAAUAUUAUUUAGUCGUUUCAAGCAUAUAACACAUGGAGAUAUCAAAUGACUCAAAAAAUAUGAUUAAGAAAAGAGUGUCAUGCAUUCUAUUCUAGUUCAGUAUUUUGUCAUUCAAGUCAUUCGUAAAUCAUGUCAUUAACUGUUGGUAUUUUAUUUAUCUAGUUUACAUCACAUACAAAUAUCACUUACUUGCUCCAUGUCUAAAAUCUUAGAGAUUCCAAUACCUUUAUACAAUGGACAAUUUUCAGGAGGGAGAAUUUAAAAUUAUUUAACCCCAAGAAUGAACACAAUAUGAGAUAAUAAUUGCAAGAUCUAGGUAAGGCCAUAACAUGCAUAAUCUCUCAGCACCAAUGUGCAUUCUAAUGAGGGCAAAAUAAAAUUACAACCUAUUCUCUCUUCUAUGUACUUAUGUACCUUAAACCAAGCCAUGCUUCAAUCAAAUUUUGUGAAAUAUUCUGCGCACGAUUCAGUUGUGUUAUAAAUUUUGGUAAAAUAUGAAAAAAAGAUUAACUAUUGUACAUAGUUCAAGGCAGCAACACAGAGGCUCAAUUGGAUAUUCCCUUGACAAAUAAGAUAGCCUUGUCAAAUUGUCCAUAUUCAGAGCUUUUGUUACAUACAUAUGAGCAGUUGGCAGCAAAUGAAAUCCAAGAUUAUCAACAUCACUGAUAUCAUAACAACAAAACAAAAUAAUAUAGCUGAUGAAUCACCAUAUAAUUUUGGAGAAUUAGAAUGUUGCUAUCUUGCUUUGGGUUGACUGAGUAAUUUCUCCCAGAAUGAGUAGAAUUCUAAGACCUUAGUCAAAGAUGUUAAGUAGUUGACAUCAAAGAGCAGGCAGUGCAGUCUCAUCCAUAUUGGCCGAAUAGCGAGGAAAAGGCUUAUUGGAAUAAAGAAUUGUACGGUUUGAGGUAAGUAACACUUCUAAACUUGGAGCUGAGGAUAUAAACCCUGAAUAUACAUGUUAUGUGAUUUGUUUGGAUGUGAUGCACAUGCUAGGUGACGGGUGUGUGUGCGUGCACCGUAGAAAUUGUGACUCAAUCGAUUCCGUAGAGCCGUGUAGUCAAUUAACUUCUUAUUUCCCAUGUAUCUUCCAUGUGUUAGAGAAAUUGAGCCGUGACUCAUAUUAGAAAUCAUGCUUAGGCAUAUACUGGUACUAUUGGGACCCACUAAAGUCAUUUCUGCUGUCAAAUUAUAUGUUUAAAUUGAAAUUUUGUACUCAGUCAUACUCAUUCAUUGCAUAUCAUAUCUCAGUUUUGUUAUUAUUUAUUGAUACACCAUAUCAUCAUUUUGGGCUAGUUUCAUGACAUUGUGAGCACGAGAGACUGGAGAGAUUGAUGACCGAGUGAAGAUAUUUAUUGGAUCGGACUGCACGUUGCAGCAGGCCAUAUUGGCUUUAUAUAUUUUAUUAUUAUGGGAUUGGGUUGCAUGCCGCAACAUAUUUUUAUUUAUUUAUGCCUGGAUCUGACUUAUUAUAGCGCUUGGGAUGAAGGAGCCCCUCUAGAGUCUGCACCCCACACAAUAAGCACAAUGGAUAUUAUAUUUGGGAUAUAGUUCCCUGGGCAUGGAGUUGCCAUAUAUAUUAUAUUUGGGAUGGAGUUCCCUGGGCAUAGAGUUUCCCUAUACAUUUAUAUUUGGGAUGGAGUUCCCUGAGCUGGAUUGGCCCUAUACAGUAUUGAGUGAUUGAAUGUCAGUUAUUAUGUAUAUAUACUUGGGAUGGAUCUUCCCUGGGCUGGAUUGUCCAUAUAUAUUACUGAGUGAUUGUGCGCGAGUUGUCAUUUAUAUUUGGGUUGGAUCUGGCUUAUACAGUACCGAGUGACUGAGUGUACUGAAUAGUGAGCGUGAUGGGUGGAAAUGCGAGACAGUGAGAUUGAGUAUCCUAAGAGUGUGAGUACAUGAGUUCAUCAUUGUGCUACAUUGCAUUAGACAUGCAUACUUGAUAUGUAGGCAUAGGGAAUCAUUUUUCCUCAUGCCAUCUAAUAAUGAAAUUUCUUAUCUGUUGUUAAAGUUUUUGAGAAAAAGCACAGAUUUCAGACUUAUAUUUUCUGUGAUUUCGGCAAAAGAUUUGAGUUUUACUGUUAUAAUUGAAAAGAAAAUAUUUAUUCCGGAAUUGUAAACGAGCUGAGCAUUUUAUCAUUGAGUUAUUACCUGUGAUGCUUAAUUAUAUUAUUGUGGAUUGUUAUAGAACUUCGGAGCAAGGUAAGUCUCAUGUCUAACCUUGUUAGGGGGAAACUACCCCUAGGUGAUGUAAUUAUUAUGUGCUACUAGUUGUGGGUGAUACGUAUGCACGCGUUGACGAGAUUCCGUACGUAGCUAAAGCAUGUUUAUGUUCGGGUAGAUAUAGGACUUUAUCAUAUAAUAUUUGAAUUAUUUGAACUCAUUCUACUGGCGUAAUUAAUGAAAUUUAUAAUCGAAAUUGACUUAGAAAUAUAUGUAUAUAUAUUAGGCCGAGCCUUAUCACCUUGAUUUGUUGGCAAGUUAUUCGAGAAACAGUAAAGGUUAUAUUAACUUUGUGCUUAUGUACUGUACUGUAAGCACGUGUUCCCUUCCUUUCUUGUGGAGUGGGUCGAAUGCCUUGGUAGUAUAAUAGAUGCAUCUAGGGUUCGUGUUGAUCGACCCUCAAUAAUGUACACAUUAUUCUAGAUCGAGCUAUACGACCUCGGCAUAAUCGUGCGUUAUAUCGCUAUCAGUCAGAAUGUUCACAAGAUUAUCCUUCUACUGAUGCCCGUCAUUUUAUAUGGUAUUUCUUAUUCAUUUGAUAUUAGUACUGAAUAUUUUAUAAGCUGUUGAGAUAGGAUACGAGAUGAGAAAUUGAUAUCGUUUAAAGAAAUUUUGGAAGACUGUGUUAGUUACAGAUUUACCUCACUACUACUGUUGUGUGUUUCUUAUCUAUUUAUGAUUUACCAUAUUGAUUUAUUGGACCAUUAGUAAGUGUCGAUAUCGACUCCUCGUCACUACUUCUCUGGGGUUAGGCUAGAUACUUCCUGGGUACGCGUUUAUUUACGUACUCAUGCUGCACUUCUGCACUAAAUGUGCAGGAUCUAACAGGUUCAUUUGGUGAUCAUCUUGGCUCUUAGGCGCAGUUGUUAAGGAGACUUUAUGUGAGUUGCAUUUUAGACUACGCAUCGCAGUCCACCGAGUCUUCAUCGUAAUAUUUAUUUUAUCCUGUCUCAUUUACAUUCUAGACAGAUGUUGUAUUAUUAUUGUACUCUUUAGUAAAUGCUCAUGUACUUGUGACACCGGAUUUUGGGAUACACUAGUUGAUGCCAAACCAUCCUUCUUGACCAGAGUUUUAUUCUCCAUUGACUCUAACAUCAACCUUUUGCUUCGAGCCAACUAUCAAGAAAUCAAAUGGCCCCUCAGAUGGCAGGACUUAUACUCUUUCAUUGAGAAACUCCAACAUCAAACCAUCUCCACCCAGGUAGCUUGGAAGAAACCAAUCCAUGGCUUUGUAAAGAUCAACAGUGAUGGAAGUGCACUCACAAACCCAGGAAAGAUUGGUGCAGGGGUGGUUAUUAGGAAUCAUAACUGUGAUUUCAUACAUGCCAUUGCUGCACUAUUUGGGGAAGGUACUAAUAACCUUUCAGAAAUUGAAGCAACUCUCUUAGGAAUCCAAUGGUAUUUGAGUAAUGGAUACUCUAAGAUCCAUCUAGAAUCAGAUUCUGCUCUCCUAGUUCAAUGGUUAAACAAUGGAAAAGGGUUUCCCUGGUCCAUGAAGAUGAAACUUCAACAGCUCUCAAAUCUCUGUCAUCACUGUGAGGAGUUCAUAUGCUCACAUAUAUAUAGAGAAGUCAACUGUCCUGCUGACUCUCUAUCAAAGCUCUGCCAUCAACUACCAAGUCUUACCAAUUAUACCCCACUCUCCUCACUGCCUAAUCCAAUAAGAGGUCAGAUUCUGCAGGAUUCUCUAGGUACCCCAGCAUUCAGGCACAAGAAGACUAGGAAAAUCAGGUUUCCAUCACAACAUGCUAUAGCACCUGAAGCAGAUGUGGUAUAACCUCCACAACAUGCAAGUUCCUCUACUUCAUCUCAUGGUUAUGGUUGAUGUUGCCUUAGAAAUGAGGGCACAAUUGUCAGUCCAAAUGAAGAACAAAAGGCAUCAGUUGGGGCCAAUCUUUGCCUAUGCUAACCUCUUUUUCUUUUUUGCAGAUACCAUCACUGUGGGACUGCACAGGCCAUUGGCCUUUCCUCAAAGUGUAGUAUUAACUGCAAUGCUAUUCAAUCUUCUAAGAAUUGAUCAAUGGACUGGAGCAUAUCUCAACACACACAUGUUGCAACUAUGAGCACAAAAAACACAAUACUAGCUUCCCUAGUUGUAGGAAAAAAGACAGAAAAAUCUAAAAAGAAAUGCAAUCCACACCACAAAAAAAAGCACCAACAUACACCUUUUGGCCUAUUCCUACAGUUUCUCUUAGAAACCACAAUAACCUUGGAGCAAACCUCUCUAUUCUGAAACACAAAAACCUAUCUGCAAUCAACAGAAAUAAGAAACUAGGCAGAAAUAUCCAUUUUUUCUCUAACUCUAUUUUCUUGUUUGCAGAUUUCACUCCUUCCUUGGUGCUCAUCCAAUUGAUGUACUCCCAGAGUGUGAUGUUAGCAUCUAUGAUGCUCAUUCUCCUUGGAGGAUAUCAACUGGAUGUAGCAGAUGUUCCAACUGUAGAAUCUUGCUCCUUCAGUAGUUUAAGAAGACAGUCCCUUACACUUAUCUGCUGUUGGGCACCCCAAUCUUCUAUAUACCAGGUCUGUUACACCAACACACAUAUGUUAAAAAAAACACCACACCAAUACAGCAAAUGAAGCAGCAGUACCAAGUGCAGAAGCCCCUAUAAUUAGUAUACAAUCUGGGAAGGACUUCAAUACACACUGCUUCAAUCCUAACUAUAGUUGCAACCAUUUUUCAAAUGGCAGCCACUAGUGCUUCAAUCUUCACAAACACCCAAAAAAUGUUGUAAUUCUAAUGUAGCAGUUCCAGCAAAACCUCAUAAAUCACAACCCAAAUCCCUUUGCUCACAGUCCAAAAUUCCAUGAUGCUCCCAGAAUACACAAGAACCUGGGAGCAGAUUUUUUUCUUUCAGUAGGUUGCCACACACCAACCUUUAGCUUUUCAAGCCAACAACAGUCAACAUCUCACUUCAUACCCCCACUGAAUAGCCCAGAUCUUCACAACUUACUCUCCAUCAGUGCUCCCAGUAUACACAAGAACCUAGGAGCAAAAGGUUUUUCACUAAUCUGUUUGUUUCUUUUUGCAGGUACCAGAGAUAGGCUCAAAAUAUUGAGUCAAUUGCAAGGAGUGGUAUUAGUAUUUCAAAUGCUCAACCUCCUGCAAUUGUGUCAAUUUUUAUGGGCCUAUCACAGCUUUCCUACUAGAACCUGUAGGAAUCGCCACAUGCUCACCUUCAGCUACAUACACAUCAGUAGAAACACCGUGGAAGAUCCACAUGGGAUAGAUCUGAAAGUAGGAAAUCACAUCCAUAGAAGCCCAAGCUAUUAGCAGCUACAACUUCACCCUUUAACCUCUCUACUACAGCCCAAGCAAACCAUCACGUGCACAAAUUCUCAGCUGAACACUUCUAGGGGCCCAGACCUAGUUCAGCUGCUCAUUUAUACCACAUGUUCUUUCUAGCACAAGAUCACAUACUGCAUAAGUUUCAGCAUCCACAAUCUAUAAGUAUCAACUGUAUGCUUCCGGCUUCACUGGAUGCAAGACACAACCCAAUGCUUACCCUCUUAUGUCAGCAAUAACAGACAUCAUUUGUCACUAUGUCCACAAAUAGAGACCUUUUUGAAAGACAUCUUCAAUCUGGCUUUCUUUGACACCAAUGUCAAAGAAAGAUUGAAGAUACCUCCCAUUACACAUGUUUUUGGCCAUGCCCCAUAGGGAAUUUCUACACCUUUACAAGAUGUAGAACUUGUUGUAUAUGGAAGAUGGCUCUCCACUUCCCUUAGUAGAUUUAGGUUCACUUGUGCAUUUUUGUAUAGUUGACCUAGGCUUACUUCACCUCUAAUUUUGUACAUCCAAUUGUCUAUCAUUGUUGGAUAGUCAAUUGGAACAUCAUUAUAGGUCUAACUCAUCAUAGAAUUCAGGUUUCAUCUGGUUGUCAUGUUUUGAUGACCAGAUGCCCAUGUACCAUAUUUUUGGAUGUCAGGUUUAUGUCCCCCUCCUUUGUUGUACUUUACUUUUUAUAUAUGAAAAUCAGCCCUAGGCAUAAUGCCUAGUGGAUUCAAAAAAAAAUAUCAACAACCAAACGCUAAAAUCGAAGAUAGAUUAAUGAAAUAUAACCAAAAUCGAAUAGAGAACACUUACGACAAUUCAUAUGGUUGUCACACCUCAUUUUUACUAGAUGAGGGAUAUAAGGGAGUUUUCCAAUUAAAGUGACAUUAUUUGAAAUGGGAUUAUUUUAUUUAUUUUCAGAGUCGCCACUUGGAAUAGUUCAUUUGGUGUCCCAAGUCACCGGUUUAUUUUAAAUCCCAAAUCGGAAAAAUUUUCGACUUUGUUUAAAAGCCUGCGAAACUAGAAAUUCUAGAUAAGGAAUUCUGUUAAUCCGGGAGAAGGUGUUAGGCAUUCCCGGGUCCCAUGGUUCGAGCACGGUCGCUUAAACUAUUAAUAAUUGCCUAUUAUCUGAUUUAUUACAUGUUUUAAACCUAUGGUGCAUUUUAACUUUAUAACCGCUUUUAAUUAUUUUAAACGCCUUUAGGAUUUAUGGAUUUUUUCUUGAACAAGUUACGAUUACCGUACACUUGUUGUUUUGGAACACACCGCAAACCACGCUACAUGAAAUGCACCCGCGAUUCAUGACAUGUUUAUUUUAUUAUUAAUGCUCAAAGUUGUUAUGAUCGGGUCACAUGAAAUGCACACCCGAUUUUGGAAAUUAGGUAUCAUGACCAUGCCACUAGAAUCAUACCCAUGACCACGAUGAUUUAUUAAUCGCGCCUAAAGCGAGCUACGAGUGUUCAUAAUUAAUUAUUUCUUAAUGUUCAUUAACGUCACUUUAACAAUAAAAUUUGCAAUGGUGAGAAAUGAAGCAUCAUAUGAGAUAAAAUAUAUCCAUCGUUAACAGAAUAAUGUGUCACCAAAAUUAAUUGCCCGUAUUGAAUGAAAACGAGCAAGCAUGAAUUUAUGUAGACAUAAUCAAUCAAGACUUUUGGGUCACGUAUGCAAACUGAAACAUCAGUAGUAUCUCAUUUAACCAUCAAACUCCAAAUCCAUAUUUUAGCAUUUUAUACAACACAACUUCCAAUGAACAAACAACAUGCCUUAAUCUUAAUGCAGCUAUAAUUAAUUUGAAAUAAUAGAAUACAGAGAUGUGCUGGGAUCAAACCAAACAGAAUGCUUAUACUUCAAGAAUACCAUACCCAAUAUAUAUUCAUCGAGUUCAUAAGCAGUUCAUUUUGUGUUAAAACUAAAUUUAAAAUGACUGAAUCCAAACAAUACUAACAGAUGCAUCAGUAAUGAACCAUGAUUUCAGACAUUGAACAGAUGGCAAUUAUUUCAUUCUAAGAACUAAUCAAAGUGCAUAAAUCUAACUAGUAAUAGCAGGUAAAUCAACGAAAGGCAACAAUCUCAUAUUAUAAUAAAUCUGGAAAAAAUCAAACUUCAGUACAUUAGGAGAUAAUAUGUGAGGCAGUAGAGGAUUACCUUGAAAAUAGCACCAGAAAUGAAAUUUAAAGGUCGAAAAAUUGAAAACGAACUCAGCUAUGUUGCUACAGUAGAAAAUCAGCAGCGACAAACCAACAAAUUCGGACCUCUUUUUAUAUACAUGAAGAUUUGUUGAAUACAAAAAUAUAAACUCGACGAGAAAAACUCGACGGAAGUGAGUCAGAAUAACAGAAUCAGCAGACGAACAACAAAUUUAUAACUCAAACAGCCCUCGAAACCCAGAAAUGAUCAAACCAUGAAGCGAAAAUCUAAACGGCCUUUUAAUCUCUCUUUUUUCGAUUUUUUUCUUUCUUUUGAAAUUUUCUAGAUAUGAAAUUUGAAGUGCAAACUUCCUCUCUCAACAAGCUCAAGUGCACGUGUGUAUCCGUGAGUGAAAGAGAUGGGUGGGGCGUGGCUGACUCGAGUUAGUUUUUUGCUGAUUUCUAGCGGAGCUCGCCGACAAUGGAGGUUUCACGGCUGGUUUUGGCCAGCUUCCAUGGUGAUAGAUGAAGAAGAUGAAAGCAGAAGUGGGAGGGGAGUGCUUAUCGUGUGAGAUUGUAUCAGUGAUGAAGAUGAGGGAUGAGAAUCACCAUUUUUUUUGAUUUUUUUCGGAAAGGACCAGGGGUUCUGCGCCGUUUGCUUCUCCAAAACUUUUUUUAGGUUGGGGUUCAGGUGGUUCUCUAGGGUUAAG
rnacentral:lncRNA from 1 species